GAAUAUUGGACAAUGGGGGGAACCCUGAUCCAGCCAUGCCGCGUGUGUGAAGAAGGCCUUUUGGUUGUAAAGCACUUUAAGCGAGGAGGAGGCUACUCUAGUUAAUACCUAGGGAUAGUGGACGUUACUCGCAGAAUAAGCACCGGCUAACUCUGUUCCAGCAGCCGCGGUAAUACAGAGGGUGCGAGCGUUAAUCGGAGUUACUGGGCGGAAAGCGUGCGUAGGCGGACAAUUAAGUAAAAUGUGAAAUCCUCGAGCUGAACUGGGGAAUUGCAGUCGAUACUGGUUGGCUAGAGUAUGGGAGAGGAUGGUAGAAUUACAGGUGUAGCGGUGAAAUGCGUAGAGAUCUGGAGGAAUACCGAUGGCGAAGGCAGCCAUCUGGACUAAUACUGACGCUGAGGUACGAAAGCAUGGGGAGCAAACAG
rnacentral:rRNA from 1 species